CUGCUGUAGAGGAAGCAGCACAUAGACUAAAAUUAGAAUGUCGCAGAGAAGUUUAGUUCGGUCCUUGUGGAAAGAUGCUAUGUAAAUUCAUGAAGCGUUCCAUAUUUUU
ensembl:snRNA U6 U6 spliceosomal RNA